rnacentral:lncRNA from 1 species
CCGCGGGGCGGGGAGCGGCGCCGCCGCUCCUUCGCGCCGCCGCCGCGCUGAGGGAGGGCGGCCGAUCUUCGGGGGCCAGCUGAGGGAGAGACCAGGCCCCCAGAGCCGCAGGGCAGGGCUGCAGCGGGUCCCGCACGGCCUGGCUGUGCUGCUCCGACAGCGGGGCGUGAGCCGCUAUGGGCACCGAAUACGCGUUUCCAUGCCCCCCUCACCGCAACAGGACACUGCGGGGUUCUGUGGUGUAGGACUGGGUGUUUCUGUAUCCCCAGAUACGGGGGAUGGCUGUGGUGUAGGACUGGGUGUUUCUGUAUCCCCAGAUACGGGGGAUGGCUGUGGUGUAGGACUGGGUGUUUCUGUAUCCCCAGAUACGGGGGAUGGCUGUGGUGUAGGACUGGGUGUUUCUGUAUCCCCAGAUACGGGGGAUGGCUGUGUCGUCGGGGAGUGCCGCUGCGCCGCAGUGGUGGUGUGUGGCAGUCUCCAUCUUGCACGUUUUUCAUCAAAUGGUUUUCACUUAAAGGUCUGUCCUGCUGCAAGGGAGCUUCUCCCGUUCACAGCUCUGCCUGAGGGUCUCGGUGCCAAAGGGACAGCAAAGCCAUCACCAUUAACUCACCAGGGCGAUCAAGUUAUUACAGCGUUACUGCAACUUGCUGCAUCUGCAUAGUGUUGUGGGUGGCCCCAUGAAGGUGACGGAGCAGUGCUUGAAUACGAGACUAACCCCAGCAACCUGAAAAUGCUGUAACAAGGAGCAGGGCAAAGAACCAAGUGCAAGAGAAAGGCUGUACAAGUGUUUGGUUAUGUAAUAUGUCUUUAUGUGAAACAAAACAUGAUUUCAAGUACAUAAAAGUCCUACUUCACAGAAAGCAGCUUAUGUUUUAUAGCCAAGAUGCUGCACACACAGUCAACCUGGGUAACCAAGGUCGAGCAGCGUGAACUAAUUCACAGGCAACCAAACUAGGGUGAGAGUCAGGAGCACACUUGAGAGCUACAGAAAGGCGUCCUAACCACUCCAACACUGAACCUUGGAGUUAGAGUCAGGACUUUCUUAUUUAUUUCUUUUUUAAACUAAAAAUAAAGCGGAUGUGAAGGUAAGAAACUGUAGGCAAUUUUACAUCAUCCGAACCAGCACAAUAUUCCCUGCCCCAUAACCAAGAACAUGUUUUCUGACAGCUGUGGGAUAGCCGAAGCCACAACCUUGCUGCUCAGAACUGUCAUUCCGCAACAACCAAAUCUUUGAAAACCACCAGGAAGUGAAAAGCAUUUUUUUUCUUCCUCAUUCCUUGCUUUGUAUUUUCCUGUAUUUCUUCACAAAGCCAGUUAAGUAGUCAAAAACAUCCAUCCUGCUGCCUAUUGGCUGUGACCCAUCACUUCAAACACUUUGUUCUGCACCCCCAAAGCCCAAAAACAUUUAAAAAGCACAGCUGUGCUGGUAUGAAACCGAUCCUUCAAGAUGUUUUAUUGAAACUACCACUGAAUGCUAUGAACCCAUUGGCCCAUAUGCUUGAUUCUCACUAGCCUGUGCUUUUUUACACC